AUACUUACCUGGCAGGGGAGAUACCAUGAUCACGAAGGUGGUUUUCCCAGGGCGAGGCUUAUCCAUUGCACUCCGGAUGUGCUGACCCCUGCGAUUUCCCCAAAUGUGGGAAACUCGACUGCAUAAUUUGUGGUAGUGGGGGACUGCGUUCGCGCUCAAA
rnacentral:snRNA from 8 species